rnacentral:rRNA from 1 species
GGCUUAGCUGUCUCCUUUUUCUAGCCAAUGAAAUUGAUCUUUCCGUGCAGAAGCGGGAAUAACAACAUAAGACGAGAAGACCCUAUGGAGCUUUAGACACUAAGACAGAUCACGUCAAACACCCCAGCUUAAUGGGCCGAACUAAGUGAGCCCUGUCCUAAUGUCUUUGGUUGGGGCGACCCUGGGGAGACAAAUAACCCCCAUGUGGAGUGGAAACACCAUAUUUCUAGAACUAAGAGCUAACCGCUCUAAGGAACAGAAUUUCUGACCAUUUUAGAUCCGGCUACUGCCGAUCAGCGGACCGAGUUA